rnacentral:siRNA from 1 species
CUUUUUCGGGCAUUUUCGUGAUU